rnacentral:misc_RNA from 1 species
AAAAAAAAAAUUAAAAAAAAAAAGAAAAGAAAGAAAGCAAGCUAGAUAGAAAUGGCGAGAAGCUAGAGCAGAAAGUGAUGGAGAACAUUCCCGUAUUUGGGUUUUUUGGGUUGUAUAAAGCCCCAUUUUUCACUUUCAUUUUUUGAGCGGUCUGUCUCCUCUCUUUCCCCCUCUCUCUCGCUCUGGACUCCGGAUCAGCCAAUUCACUUACCCGAAUCUUACCGGACCCUCUGCCGGGUCGGCUUGCACUCGCUUUCUGCAAUGGGGUGCGUCAGCUCCAAGCAGACGGUGUCCGUCACGCCGGCGUUCGACCACUCGGGUGGGUUGAACUCGGGUCGGAUUCGGGUGGGGCUAGAGAAUGACAAGGCCAGCCACAAGAGUUACGGGAGCAGCAACCACAAGAAGAAUGGCGAGUUGAGUUGUGGAAGCGAGUUGGGUGAGUCCGGGAGAGCUAGUUCUAACAGUGAAUCGUUGAGCUUUAGGUUGAGGAAUUUGCAAAAGUAUAUUGAAGGUGAACAAGUGGCCGCCGGGUGGCCUGCAUGGCUUAGUGCCGUCGCCGGUGAGGCCAUUCAGGGUUGGGUUCCGCUUAAAGCCGAUGCGUUUGAGAAAUUGGAGAAGGUUGUCCCGUGCGUCCUUACAUACACACAUAAAUUCACAUGCAUACAUGUUAAGAUUUCAAGAUUUUUUUUUUUUAUAAAUUGAAUUGGGUGACGUGUUUGGUGCAAAGAUAGCUUCUUUUGUCAUUUUGUUGAUGGUAAGCGGCUUUGUUUUUAUUUUGUUUGGUCCAUUGUGAAAUGAACACGCGAGGUUAAUGUGAAUUAUGAAGAAACUCGUCUUAUUUUCAUUGUGCAUUUUUUCUUGGGAAAGUUCAUAUCUUUCUUGCUUUCGGAAAAAGAAUAAUAUUGUUUUGGUGCUUCUUCUUCACCAUUAAGAUUGACAGAAUAGAGAUUUUUUUCGAAAUUUAGAAUUUCUGAGCUUUUUGGUUGACAGGCAUAAUUGAGAAAUUAAGAAGUUGUUAACUCAUCUCUGCUUGGUGGAGCUCUUCUUCUUCUUCUUCUU